rnacentral:rRNA from 1 species
GGUUAAGCGACUAAGCGUACACGGUGGAUGCCCUGGCAGUCAGAGGCGAUGAAGGACGUGCUAAUCUGCGAUAAGCGUCGGUAAGGUGAUAUGAACCGUUAUAACCGGCGAUUUCCGAAUGGGGAAACCCAGUGUGAUUCGUCACACUAUCAUUAACUGAAUCCAUAGGUUAAUGAGGCGAACCGGGGGAACUGAAACAUCUAAGUACCCCGAGGAAAAGAAAUCAACCGAGAUUCCCCCAGUAGCGGCGAGCGAACGGGGAGCAGCCCAGAGCCUGAAUCAGUGUGUGUGUUAGUGGAAGCGUCUGGAAAGGCGUGCGAUACAGGGUGACAGCCCCGUACACAAAAAUGCACAUGCUGUGAGCUCGAUGAGUAGGGCGGGACACGUGGUAUCCUGUCUGAAUAUGGGGGGACCAUCCUCCAAGGCUAAAUACUCCUGACUGACCGAUAGUGAACCAGUACCGUGAGGGAAAGGCGAAAAGAACCCCGGCGAGGGGAGUGAAAAAGAACCUGAAACCGUGUACGUACAAGCAGUGGGAGCACGCUUAGGCGUGUGACUGCGUACCUUUUGUAUAAUGGGUCAGCGACUUAUAUUCUGUAGCAAGGUUAACCGAAUAGGGGAGCCGAAGGGAAACCGAGUCUUAACUGGGCGUUAAGUUGCAGGGUAUAGACCCGAAACCCGGUGAUCUAGCCAUGGGCAGGUUGAAGGUUGGGUAACACUAACUGGAGGACCGAACCGACUAAUGUUGAAAAAUUAGCGGAUGACUUGUGGCUGGGGGUGAAAGGCCAAUCAAACCGGGAGAUAGCUGGUUCUCCCCGAAAGCUAUUUAGGUAGCGCCUCGUGAAUUCAUCUCCGGGGGUAGAGCACUGUUUCGGCAAGGGGGUCAUCCCGACUUACCAACCCGAUGCAAACUGCGAAUACCGGAGAAUGUUAUCACGGGAGACACACGGCGGGUGCUAACGUCCGUCGUGAAGAGGGAAACAACCCAGACCGCCAGCUAAGGUCCCAAAGUCAUGGUUAAGUGGGAAACGAUGUGGGAAGGCCCAGACAGCCAGGAUGUUGGCUUAGAAGCAGCCAUCAUUUAAAGAAAGCGUAAUAGCUCACUGGUCGAGUCGGCCUGCGCGGAAGAUGUAACGGGGCUAAACCAUGCACCGAAGCUGCGGCAGCGACGCUUAUGCGUUGUUGGGUAGGGGAGCGUUCUGUAAGCCUGUGAAGGUGUACUGUGAGGUAUGCUGGAGGUAUCAGAAGUGCGAAUGCUGACAUAAGUAACGAUAAAGCGGGUGAAAAGCCCGCUCGCCGGAAGACCAAGGGUUCCUGUCCAACGUUAAUCGGGGCAGGGUGAGUCGACCCCUAAGGCGAGGCCGAAAGGCGUAGUCGAUGGGAAACAGGUUAAUAUUCCUGUACUUGGUGUUACUGCGAAGGGGGACGGAGAAGGCUAUGUUGGCCGGGCGACGGUUGUCCCGGUUUAAGCGUGUAGGCUGGUUUUCCAGGCAAAUCCGGAAAACUAAGGCUGAGGCGUGAUGACGAGGCACUACGGUGCUGAAGCAACAAAUGCCCUGCUUCCAGGAAAAGCCUCUAAGCAUCAGGUAACAUCAAAUCGUACCCCAAACCGACACAGGUGGUCAGGUAGAGAAUACCAAGGCGCUUGAGAGAACUCGGGUGAAGGAACUAGGCAAAAUGGUGCCGUAACUUCGGGAGAAGGCACGCUGAUAUGUAGGUGAAGUCCCUCGCGGAUGGAGCUGAAAUCAGUCGAAGAUACCAGCUGGCUGCAACUGUUUAUUAAAAACACAGCACUGUGCAAACACGAAAGUGGACGUAUACGGUGUGACGCCUGCCCGGUGCCGGAAGGUUAAUUGAUGGGGUCAGCGCAAGCAAAGCUCUUGAUCGAAGCCCCGGUAAACGGCGGCCGUAACUAUAACGGUCCUAAGGUAGCGAAAUUCCUUGUCGGGUAAGUUCCGACCUGCACGAAUGGCGUAAUGAUGGCCAGGCUGUCUCCACCCGAGACUCAGUGAAAUUGAACUCGCUGUGAAGAUGCAGUGUACCCGCGGCAAGACGGAAAGACCCCGUGAACCUUUACUAUAGCUUGACACUGAACAUUGAGCCUUGAUGUGUAGGAUAGGUGGGAGGCUUUGAAGUGUGGACGCCAGUCUGCAUGGAGCCGACCUUGAAAUACCACCCUUUAAUGUUUGAUGUUCUAACGUUGACCCGUGAUCCGGGUUGCGGACAGUGUCUGGUGGGUAGUUUGACUGGGGCGGUCUCCUCCUAAAGAGUAACGGAGGAGCACGAAGGUUGGCUAAUCCUGGUCGGACAUCAGGAGGUUAGUGCAAUGGCAUAAGCCAGCUUGACUGCGAGCGUGACGGCGCGAGCAGGUGCGAAAGCAGGUCAUAGUGAUCCGGUGGUUCUGAAUGGAAGGGCCAUCGCUCAACGGAUAAAAGGUACUCCGGGGAUAACAGGCUGAUACCGCCCAAGAGUUCAUAUCGACGGCGGUGUUUGGCACCUCGAUGUCGGCUCAUCACAUCCUGGGGCUGAAGUAGGUCCCAAGGGUAUGGCUGUUCGCCAUUUAAAGUGGUACGCGAGCUGGGUUUAGAACGUCGUGAGACAGUUCGGUCCCUAUCUGCCGUGGGCGCUGGAGAACUGAGGGGGCUGCUCCUAGUACGAGAGGACCGGAGUGGACGCAUCACUGGUGUUCGGGUUGUCAUGCCAAUGGCACUGCCCGGUAGCUAAAUGCGGAAGAGAUAAGUGCUGAAAGCAUCUAAGCACGAAACUUGCCCCGAGAUGAGUUCUCCCUGACUCCUUGAGAGUCCUGAAGGAACGUUGAAGACGACGACGUUGAUAGGCCGGGUGUGUAAGCGCAGCGAUGCGUUGAGCUAACCGGUACUAAUGAACCGUGAGGCUUAACCUU